rnacentral:rRNA from 1 species
UACGAAGGGUGCAAGCGUUACUCGGAAUUACUGGGCGUAAAGGGGGCGUAGGUGGUUGUUUAAGUCUGCUGUGAAAGCCCCGGGCUCAACCUGGGAAUGGCAGUGGAUACUGGACAGCUAGAGUGCGGUAGAGGGUAGUGGAAUUCCCGGUGUAGCAGUGAAAUGCGUAGAGAUCGGGAGGAACACCAGUGGCGAAGGCGGCUACCUGGACCAGCACUGACACUGAAGCACGAAAGCGUGGGGAGCAAACAGG